rnacentral:rRNA from 1 species
UACGUAGGGUGCGAGCGUUGUCCGGAAUUAUUGGGCGUAAAGAGCUUGUAGGUGGCUCGUUGCGUCGGGAGUGAAAACCUGCGGCUUAACCGCAGGCCUGCUUCCGAUACGGGCGAGCUAGAGUUCGGCAGGGGAGACUGGAAUUCCUGGUGUAGCGGUGGAAUGCGCAGAUAUCAGGAGGAACACCGAUGGCGAAGGCAGAUCUCUGGGCCGUAACUGACGCUGAGGAGCGAAAGCGUGGGGAGCGAACAGG